GUGGCCGUAGAUCAGUGGUAGAUCGGGAGGCUGUGAACCUCUCCACGGGAGUUCGAUUCUCCCCGGUCACCCCA
rnacentral:tRNA from 1 species